rnacentral:rRNA from 1 species
CAAUCAAACGACUCUCGGCAAUGGAUAUCUCGGCUCUUGCAUCGAUGAAGAACGUAGUGAAAUGCGAUACUUGGUGUGAAUUGCAGAAUCUCGUGAACCAUUGAGUCUUUGAACGCAAGUUGUGCCCGAGGCCUUUUGGCCGAGGGCACGCCUGCUUGGGUGUCAUGG